UGAGCAUUCAAAAAUGACCAUUCAGUUAUGUUUUCCAUUGCCUUGGCAGAAGUCUGAUUGGGUAUUAAAAUAAUUACCGACUACCUUUGCUUUCUGACAGUUGGAUAUUUUUUACUUCAAAGGCAAAUCCCUCUUGAAGUAAUAGAACAACAUGCUUAGAAGUGUGGAGUGCAAUAGAGCUGAAAAAUGAAAAACCAACAGGCUGAGAUGCUGGCUUCUUCCAGAAGGGCAAGAAAAAGGUAUCCGUGUGUGCCUGUGCACUUUGGCGGAACAAGGCCCUGGAAGGAGGAGCACUGCUUCCUGAGAGGCCCCACUGAACCGGCAGUUGGAAGCAGACCUGACCUGGACUGGGAGAGUCUUGUGCAACAGGGGCACUUUCCCGAGAGGCUCCUCCUGCAGUCAUGCCUGACAUGUCUUGGAUCUCCGCUCUCCAGCAUGUAGUGUGCCUGCUUUGCCCGGUCAACUGCGUUACACACCCAGUGAAUCAGUGUGGAGGCGUAUGUCACUUCUGGGAUUCAUCACACUUCUCUCCAUUUACCCCCCUAAAGAGUUGUUAAAAUAGAAGAGGUUCUGCUCUCCGCGCAGUGUCAGUGUAAGGAGAAAAUCUGAGAUUUAUCUUAUUGUUCAGAAAUAGAAGUGUUGGAUAAUUUGAAACUAACUCUUUUACUGGCUUUUCAGCCAUAGUCCUUUGCGCUUCUUUUCCUCCAGGGAUUCUGUAUUAUAAAGUUACUAAAAAGUAUUUUGAACUAUUAAGUGAACUAUUUCAUGUGUAAUAAUAGAGACUAGUGUUUAAUGUUAAUUAAUCACUCUCAGAUGGUUGUGUGGUAGGCUUACUAAUGCUCAACCAGUAACACCCAGCCGACUUGAAUCAGCCGCACCACUGGGUGUGGAAGGUCCCCCGAGGAUUGCGGCGAACAGUGUAAAAGGAGACCUGGAGUGGAAGACGGGGCGCUGUUGAUUCUCCCAGAGAAGCGUGUCAGGAGGGCUUUUCUGAUAUGAACUGAGCUGUUUUCAUUAUCAGAGGAGCUCUGGUCCUCCCUGUCUCCGAUGAUGGCUAUAGUUCUUUCUGUAGGAACUUUGUUCCUUACUCUGAGCAUUGCUUCCUGGCUUCAGUGAAGAUUCUUCAGUCUGCUGGCAUAGAUCCUUCAUCCCACUUACACAGAUGUUCUAGUCCAAACCAUUGACCUUUGGGGCUUCUCAGGGCAGAUCCUUGAUACAGACUUGCAUGAGACAUUGUUGUAGACCCUCGGCCUCCAACUGGACUCUUGGAGGAUAUUGCCAUGGGCUUUAAGUCUUCAGCUGGACUCAUGCAGGACAUUGCUGUAGGAUUCUUUGGGUCUCUGGUGUGCAGAUGGAUCUCCCCUUUUGCAUUUGACUCUCUAGGUGAACACUGUAAAAAUAAUUCUAUAAAGCAUGUGUCCUGUACUAAACCUAUUUCCUUGGAAACCCUGACUACAACAGGUUGCCGUUAUUUUCAGAAAUAUGUUUAAGUGCAGUGCCAGAGAGCAAGGGGCUGCAGACCAGAUAUGGACUCCCAAAUUAAACCUCGGUGUUCAGUCAGAAACAACUAUAAAUGAGCUUCACUAAUUACCUGGAUGUCUUCCAAACCAGUUGACAGUUAAAUUUAACUAUGGCAAAAGAAAUAUGAGAAGGUACCUAACUUAUAUGUGUGUGUAUGUGUUUGUGUGAUCACUUUAUUUAAUAUCAUUCUAGUCUUGAAUAACUUACGUCCAGUGGGAAAGCAGAAUAAUGUUUGAUGAGGUUGACUGUUAUAUUCAGUGAGGGUAAGAAAAUGUACAUACUUAAAGAUGAGCCCAGGCAUGGUGGCACACAUCUGUAAUCCCAGCACUAGGGAGGCUGAGGCAGGAAGAUCGUUGCAAGUUUGAGACCAGUUUGGGCUACAAAGUGAGCUCAAGUACAGCCUAAAGUGCAUAGCAAAACCCUGUCUCCAAAAAUAAAGAUAUUUAAAGAUGAACAAGAAAAUUGUUUAAUGUAUUAAACUCAUUCAUUUUAUCUUAUACAUAGUGAAAUAAAGAUAUUUGUUCUCAUAUAUGGUUUUAUAUUUGAAUACAUCAUACAACUUUUAGCUAGGAAUCAAAUUUAAAAUGAUGUUUAUUGAUAUUCUGUUUUUAUAUUAACCUAAAUUGAUCUCUAAAACUCAUUCAAUACUUUAAUCUUCUCCAGACCAACUGAUAUAUUACCAAAAAUAUUAAAUUUCUAUCAAGUGCAACUAUGAAAGAAUGAUGAGAAACUUGCCCAUAUUAUAGUACUUGAAAUAGUGAAAAAUGAGAAAUCGCCUGUAUUAUACCACUCAGACUUAUCUGAUGAAUCAAAAUUAGAUCUUGGAGGGAAAUUUCUAGAAAUAAAUGCAUAAAAGAAAGAUAUAAAAUAUAUAACAUAUUACACAUCAGAGAACUAGAAGAUAAACAAAGUAAGCUCAAAGUUAGAUGGAAGGAAAUAAGAAUAACUAAAGCCAAAGUACUAGUAAGAAAAAUAGGAAACAAACACAUAAUCAAAAAGAUCAAUGAAACUGAAGAUUGAAAGCUAAAAACAAUUGAAAAAAAGUCUCUAGCCUAAAAAAAACAGUGUAAAGGCAGAAAGAAAUAAUUGCAUCUUUAACUCAAUAGUGAUACUGGAGAGGAGCAUGUAUCAAUUUCCACAUAUUUGUGACUUUCUGAGUGUUCUCAUUUCUGUGCACUUUUAGUUUCAUCCCUCUUCUUAAAUUGUUAUUGCUUGUUUCAUAGUCUAACAUAUGAUUGGUCACGGAGGAUGGUCCACGUACUUUUGAGAAGAAUACACAUUCUGUUGCUGCUGGGUGGAAUGUUCUGUGUAUGAUCAUCAGAUAUAUCAAGUCGAAUGCAUAGUUCAUGCCCAAAGCUUGUGUAUUGGUUUCAUGUCUAGAUGACGUUACUAUAGGCACAUAAUUCAGAUUAAAAUGAAAUUACAGUCAGAGGGGGACAGACCUCUCAAGGAAGUUAGUGACAAGUAAACACAUGAGAAAUGUGGCUGGAGGCAUCUCUGAAGAAGGUCAGGCCACAAGAGAAAGAUGCAGUGUUCAGGCCUACAUGCCUACCUGAGGGAUAAACAGUAAUGUGGAACUAUUCAAUAGUGGCAUCACCUAGUCUAGUAACGUAUUACAGCAUCACCCCAUCUAGAAAAGUCCUGAUAAACAUCAGACACCCAGGUGGGUUACCAGAGCACCCAGACCUAUCCCUUCCCAAAAAAGUCCUUACUCUUUCCAGGCACCCUUGCUAUGUGAUUCACUUCCCUAUUAGCUCAAUACUAGCUAAGCAGCUGUACUUGUAAUCUUUCAGGCUGAUUAUAGUUUGGCCCACAUUGUAUCAAAAUUUUGACUUUGCUGUAUAAAUUACCCCUGACAAAGGACUUUGGUCACAACUCAAUUUCAGGAUUUUUUUGUGUCUUUAAGAGCUACAUCUCAAUAAAACUUUCUACUUUUAAACUCCAUUGUCCUUUGAAAUUCAUUCUUUGGUUUCAGGAGUUACGAACUAGGUACAUCUGAUAUCUAACA
ensembl:lincRNA